rnacentral:rRNA from 1 species
GUGCUAUACAUGCAGUCGAGCGAAUGACGAGGAGCUUGCUCCUCUGAUUUAGCGGCGGACGGGUGAGUAACACGUGGGUAAUCUGCCUGUAAGACGGGGAUAACUCCGGGAAACCGGGGCUAAUACCGGAUAAUAAGAAGAAACGCAUGUUUCUUUUUUGAAAGUCGGUUUCGGCUGACACUUACAGAUGAGCCCGCGGCGCAUUAGCUAGUUGGUGAGGUAACGGCUCACCAAGGCGACGAUGCGUAGCCGACCUGAGAGGGUGAUCGGCCACACUGGGACUGAGACACGGCCCAGACUCCUACGGGAGGCAGCAGUAGGGAAUCUUCGGCAAUGGGCGAAAGCCUGACCGAGCAACGCCGCGUGAGCGAUGAAGGCCUUCGGGUCGUAAAGCUCUGUUGUUAGAGAAGAACAAGUACGAGAGUAACUGCUCGUACCUUGACGGUACCUAACCAGAAAGCCACGGCUAACUACGUGCCAGCAGCCGCGGUAAUACGUAGGUGGCAAGCGUUAUCCGGAAUUAUUGGGCGUAAAGCGCGCGCAGGCGGUCUCUUAAGUCUGAUGUGAAAGCCCACGGCUCAACCGUGGAGGGUCAUUGGAAACUGGGAGACUUGAGUGCAGGAGAGAAAAGUGGAAUUCCACGUGUAGCGGUGAAAUGCGUAGAGAUGUGGAGGAACACCAGUGGCGAAGGCGGCUUUUUGGCCUGUAACUGACGCUGAGGCGCGA